CCUACGGGGGGCAGCAGUAGGGAAUCUUCGGCAAUGGACGGAAGUCUGACCGAGCAACGCCGCGUGAGUGAAGAAGGUUUUCGGAUCGUAAAGCUCUGUUGUAAGAGAAGAACGAGUGUGAGAGUGGAAAGUUCACACUGUGACGGUAUCUUACCAGAAAGGGACGGCUAACUACGUGCCAGCAGCCGCGGUAAUACGUAGGUCCCGAGCGUUGUCCGGAUUUAUUGGGCGUAAAGCGAGCGCAGGCGGUUAGAUAAGUCUGAAGUUAAAGGCUGUGGCUUAACCAUAGUACGCUUUGGAAACUGUUUAACUUGAGUGCAAGAGGGGAGAGUGGAAUUCCAUGUGUAGCGGUGAAAUGCGUAGAUAUAUGGAGGAACACCGGUGGCGAAAGCGGCUCUCUGGCUUGUAACUGACGCUGAGGCUCGAAAGCGUGGGGAGCAAACAGGAUUAGAUACCCCAGUAGUC
rnacentral:rRNA from 1 species